CCUACGGGAGGCAGCAGUGAGGAAUAUUGGUCAAUGGACGAGAGUCUGAACCAGCCAAGUAGCGUGAAGGAUGACUGCCCUAUGGGUUGUAAACUUCUUUUAUAUGGGAAUAAAACAGGGUAUGCAUACCCUCUUGUAUGUACCAUAUGAAUAAGGAUCGGCUAACUCCGUGCCAGCAGCCGCGGUAAUACGGAGGAUCCGAGCGUUAUCCGGAUUUAUUGGGUUUAAAGGGAGCGUAGGUGGAUUGUUAAGUCAGUUGUGAAAGUUUGCGGCUCAACCGUAAAAUUGCAGUUGAAACUGGCAGUCUGGAGUACAGUAGAGGUGGGCGGAAUUCGUGGUGUAGCGGUGAAAUGCUUAGAU
rnacentral:rRNA from 1 species